GCUUAAUAGGCUGGAACUUCCCCAUGUCCGGUCUCCGAAGGUGGCUGUUAUCCUCCGAGGGCCCCUGUGCGAGUUUCAAGCUCGGGCUCAUGUUAUGGGCUGGGCGAGGUGGACUCCAGGAUGUCAGAAUGUGACGCUUCACACAGAUUUUCACGGUAGUGUCUGAGCAGACCUGUGGGUGAGUGUGACAGCUGGUUUCUCCACAUCAUGGAUUGGUCAGAGAUAUCUGGAGAUGCUCAUUUCA
rnacentral:lncRNA from 1 species